AGAGUUUGAUCAUGGCUCAGAGCGAACGCUGGCGGCAGGCCUAAUACAUGCAAGUCGAACGGAUCCUUCGGGAUUAGUGGCGGACGGGUGAGUAACACGUGGGAACGUGCCCUUUGGUUCGGAACAACUCAGGGAAACUUGAGCUAAUACCGGAUAAGCCCUUCGGGGGAAAGAUUUAUCGCCAUUGGAGCGGCCCGCGUCUGAUUAGCUAGUUGGUGGGGUAAUUGCCUACCAAGGCUACGAUCAGUAGCUGGUCUGAGAGGAUGAUCAGCCACACUGGGACUGAGACACGGCCCAGACUCCUACGGGAGGCAGCAGUAGGGAAUCUUGCGCAAUGGGCGAAAGCCUGACGCAGCCAUGCCGCGUGAAUGACGAAGGUCUUAGGAUUGUAAAAUUCUUUCAGCGGGGACGAUAAUGACGGUACCCGCAGAAGAAGCCCCGGCUAACUUCGUGCCAGCAGCCGCGGUAAUACGAAGGGGGCUAGCGUUGCUCGGAAUUACUGGGCGUAAAGGGCGCGUAGGCGGAUGUUUAAGUCAGAGGUGAAAGCCCAGGGCUCAACCUUGGAACUGCCUUUGAUACUGGACAUCUUGAGUACGGGAGAGGUGAGUGGAACUCCGAGUGUAGAGGUGAAAUUCGUAGAUAUUCGGAAGAACACCAGUGGCGAAGGCGACUCACUGGCCCGUUACUGACGCUGAGGCGCGAAAGCGUGGGGAGCAAACAGGAUUAGAUACCCCGGUAGUCC
rnacentral:rRNA from 1 species